ensembl:lncRNA
GGAAGCAAGUGCAAGAGUGAAACAAAUAGGUUUAUUAAAGUCCGGUAUACAAAUAAAUCCAGGGGGAACAACAGAUGGUCGCGGUGAUGACUGACGGUGAUCCCGUAAGUGGCGGUGAGGUGAGGCAGCAGGAGAGCGUGACACAGGCCUGAGAUGAGCAGUCCGUGGUGGUGAGUAGUGGCAUCCGGUGGUGAAGAGUGGACGGGGUUCCAGGGUCAGACGAACAGCGAUGACGAGAAACCAGGCAGACGAACGGGAGACUUCAUACAACGCUCUGACAAACACAAGACGAAAGACAGGGCAAUAAAUAGGGAUCGGGUAAUGAGUAACAGCUGGUGCCAAUGAACAAUCAACGGAGACGCCCACAUGAAACAAUCAGUGCUGACGAGCAACACACACAAACUCCACCCACAUAGUGCACACCCGAGACCACGGUUUACUAACCGUGACACUUAUAAAAGCAGGUCCAUAAAACAUAUUACAAUUUUGAUACUUAUCUACUAAUCUAAUGACCCCUCCUGCCCCGUAACUUAUCUCAUACCUAUUAGCUAACUUACUCCUCUUUAAAGUCCAGGGCAGCGGGACUAUACUUGCACUCCAGUAACACAGAACUGUAGCCACUUGAUUAAUAGUCAAAGGAUCAAAAUCUUUAGAGCAGCUACUGUAGGGUGACCAUAUGCGCCGUUCAUACGGGACACGUCCCGGCCAGAUUUUAAUAUUGCCUAAAACGUCCAAAGCAGUUUGACCAAUAACAUGCAGGUAUUAUACAUAAUCGACCAAUCGUGGGGCUGCGCGUGAGAAGGCGAGAUCUACAUGGAACAAUCAAAGCGAUGCAAUAUGCGCACGUGUUCGUUCGUUCGUUCGUUUGAUAGAAUCGUCACUGCUCAAAAAGACAGCAAAGUAGGUGCGAGAGCGAUCCGAAAGCAUAAGGAGCCGUCUGCUCUGCUCUCUAGCUCUCAUGAAUGUCGCACAACGAUCGACCUGCAAACAGCCAAAACCUGGAUAUUUUAGGCAAUAUUAAAAUCCUGGCCGGGACGUGUCCCGUAUAAACGGCGCAUAUGGUCACCCUAAGCUACUGAUAAUUUUUCCACACUCCGCACCUUUCAAACCAUAAACUGCGUCAUAAAAGAAAACUAAAUUAUUCCUAUAUACUCCCUUCUCAUCUUUCUUCCUUCUUAUAUUCAAUCUUUUCAAAUAUAAUUUCCUUUUUACACUUAAAAUUUCACUCGUCAGGUUUCCAGUAAAAGGGUCGGUACCGUUUAGGAAAUCACUACAAUCCAUAUUUUCUCUAUCUUUGUCACAAAAACUAGCAUACGAAAAAUCAUUAUAAUCAGUCUUCGUGUAUUUAUACUUUUGUCCGUGGUUUCCACGACUAAUUUCUUUCCUAACACAUUUAUCCAUUUGUUUCACUCUAUUCUCUUAAUAGUCUUUUAUUUCACUUUCGGUUUUAACCAUGUCGUUUAGUUUCAUUUUCACUAAAUACACUUCUGUUUUUCACUUAUGUUCAUCUAAGUCCCAGCAACCAAUUUUAAAAUUAUAUUUGACUCUGGGUAUGGUCAUUACUCUCUUCCAUAUCCACGGUAUUAUAUUAUUUAAUUCCAAAUCAAUUUUUGUAGUGGACCUAGACUCUAACUCUGCAUAACCUGUCUUUCGUGACCCUACAUGUCUGUCCCUAACAGUUGUUAAUAGAUAAUAGAAGCAAAUUCACCCUCCGGAUUCGAAAUUUGACUAAUUCUUAUCCACUCUUCUACAUUCUUUAUUUUCUCUGCAUAUUUUAAUUUAUCGAUUUUACUUUCUCUUUUGCUACUUUCUAUUUUACUUUCUCUUUUGCUUUUAACUUUUCCUUCAUAUUUACACUGUCCAAUCUUCCGUGGAUCAAAAUGUUUGCGUGAUCUAAAUAUCCAACAUCCUCCCAGCUCUUAGCUGGAACUGGUCCUGUAAGUUCGUCCUAUAAAAUAAUGAACGGUUUUAUUUCCUUCACGCUCUUAAAUGUAACUAUUUUCCUCAAAUAUUUCGGUUUCCCUUUUGUGCCAUUGUCUCAUUUUUACUGUGCUUUUAAGCUUAACCUUGGGUGUAAGGACCAUAUAAUAACUUGUCUUGUCAGUACUAAUAUUAUCUAACCAUUUCCAAAAAUACUAACGUAUUAUUUUCUAUUUCCUUUCUCUUUUUCCUCGAGGUUCCCCAUACGGAUAAUUCAAAUCCUGUUAUAGUUUGCCUUUGGACUUCCACUUCCGCUAAAAUAAUACUUCCCGAUAAUAUUUCCCACUUACACUUAUUAAGAUUAGCAAAAACACAAUUACUCCUAAUAAAAACCAUAAAAUGAUACUUAUCCAUCUGCAGCACUGUCGUUGUUUCUUCAACUUUCUGAUGGUCUUCCGAGCUUCGCCCAACUCUUCUGGAAGACUUUCUAAUGACGGCGAGCAUCUCAUUUUUCUGUAAACAGAGAUUAGUUUUGUAGCGGUCUUCUCCUCAGGAUUCCCUUCUUUAUCACCUUUACGUCCGGUUGAUCAUGAUGCACUUCAACUUCAAUACCCCCCAGCCAAUCGAAGUCGGGAUGAGCACAUAGCAACACAUUUGUCCGAAAAUGCAUCACGAUCAUGAAAGUCUCUCCAGAGACUUCCAUAUUUG